GUCUGAUUGUGUUUUUAACCCCUCAUUGCAAAAUAAGAACAAAGGCAUUAAAUAACAUAGCAGAUGUGAUGGCAAAUUUUUAUGUCAUAACCAAUAACAGAAUAUAACCAAGUAAAAUGCAUAGAAGAGCUGCUUGUAACUGAUGAAGAGUACAAUCUAGAACAUCCAUUGAUGUUAUAGCAUAGAGAAAAUAUGCUCCAUUGUUGGAAAUAGAGGUCACUGAAGUAAUAAUUUCAAAUGAGCUAAUCUAUGUCUUAAAACCUGUGGGAUCUGCCAUGCUUCAUUGAUGCCAAGGUCAAAGAUAAGGGCUAUGCACAGCAGGUACAAAUUACUGCAGCCAUUCAUUGGAGUGAUUUCUGAAUUACUACUACCAUCAGUGUGGGAUAGGUCAAAACAAUUAUAAUUUUGAGCCCCUCAGAGAGCUGUUAUAUUACUAAAUAUGUCUUAUAUAUCUAAGUGCCAGACUCAAAAGCACACUUAAGACAGAGGAAAAACAAGCAAGGAAUACGAAUCAGUGAAUUAGUGGUUAAAUCUUUAAGAUGGUAAGGCUGAGUCUCACAUACAGGUCAAACUUCCAAAGUCAUUACUGUUUCUUGCUUCUCAUCCACUGCUAAUAUGAAAUAUAUCCCAAGGAGAGGAUCAGGGCUCCUUGUUGCCUGCUUCCUCCUCCUGUUAUCACUGCUACUCACUUUUAACUCUCUUGAACAGGAUCUGCAGUUGGGAGUAAAGAUGUCUGACUCCAGAAACUUCUUGAGGCUUGCUGUAGGCCCCUGCGCACUCUUCUCUUCUUUACCCAGGGACCCCAACAAGAAGGAUGAAAUAUGCCCAUCUUCCUGUAAAAAGCCUACAUGCUUCCACUCCAGGAAAGCAAGGAAAGCAACUGAGUUGAAGCUACAAAACCACAGCUGCAGUACUUUUGAAAUUACUUAUCUGAGAGCUGCUGAUUGGAGAUAAUCCUUGGACUGAAGUAGGUGAGAGGGUGGAAUAGAAGACACAUUCAAAGAGAUUCAACAGAAAUAGUCCUGUCACAUCUGCCUCAUUAUCGUCUUUACUUCUGAAGCAUCUGAUGUCAGAUUUAUAUUCUAGGUGGAGAGUCUCAGUGUUAAAUUAAAUGGAAUUUUAGUGAACAUCAUAACAGAAUCAAUGUCUAUGUCACUUGUUAUAGUAAUCAGCUUUACAUAAGUAACUGCCAACAGUUUUGUGUUAACUGUGAGUUUGUCAGUCUUUCAUUCAAACAAAAGCAAUUAGCUGUUUGCAUGUAUUCUGUUUGCUGACAUGAUAAUGAUUCAUACCAUUGAUGUUAAUGAAACCUGCAUUGUAAAAAUAAUUUGUUGGAAGACUCUCAGCUGUCAUCCCACCAUUUCCAUAAAUCUUGUGCAGUUUGUGCCAUCAUGAACAUAAUGAUCUCAGGUACAUGCAAUAAAAUGAAUUGCGCAAAAAAAUCCCAACCUAGAUUAUAAGCACAGUUUUUACAACCCUAGGUUGUACUACUAUAUUCCUUGAUGAGCUGUAGGGUUCAGGCACUGAAUCAGGUCUCAGUGAUGCUUUUGCUGUGUUAGCAACCAUGCGAAAUAUCUGAAUCUUCAUCCAUUUUUUUUCUGUUUAAUUGACAUCUGAUCGGUGAAUCUUAGAAUGGUUUGGAUUUCAAGAGAUGUGUGAAGUCAUCUAUGUGCCACAGGCAUGGACACAUUGCACAUAUGUGAGAGGCAGAUUCUGCACAGCUGGGCUCAGACAUUCAGUGUGAUCUGGAGCUGCCCCUGUCCCAGUCUCCCCAUCUGGUGACACACAGACACGACAUGCAGGCUCCCGAGGCUGCAGCCCUGCUCCAGUCGCUGGUACCGACCAUCACGCUGGUCAUGACUUCCUAGGUAAGCAGGAAGAAGUAAGGAAGAAAGAAGGACAGUACAUGGCAAUAAAGUGAGGGUGAAGAAAGCAGCUGAAACACUAGCAUAAUUUGAAAUUUUUUACAAGAAAAAGUUGUAAUUUGACAAGAUAGCAAGGUUUUCCUGGCUGUUGUGAUAGAGUGGUUGAUGUGUAGGGCUGGAAAAUUGAGAUCACUAGGAGUGAGCAGCAGAAGCAUCAGAGUCACCACAGUGUUUUUUCUAUACCAUGCUAUGUAAUACAACAAUGUGGAAAGUACUUCUGGAAAAUACUUUUGGUAAAUCACUAGAAAAGCCUAAAGAUGACCACAAUCCUGAGAAAAGACAAGUCCAGUGUCACUGGGGGAAAUCAUGUCUUGAAUUUUAGCUUCUAUAUUUUUCAGAUUCUGUGCUGUUUUGGUGUGUAGCUCUGAGUUUCAUAUUAAGAGAUGUUAAGCUCUCUUCACAGAGUAGGAAGACAAAACAACUCCUUCCCUAGUUGGGGACCAAGGACAAUCAAUCCAAAUUUCAGGCCCAGGAGCGUGGACAGCAGUGGACUGAAGAGAGAAAAACAAGAAGGAUGGGACUUCAUGGGCUAAAGCUGUAACUGGACAAUUAACUACAAUGUGCAAAUGGACCAAAACUUAUAAAUGUGUGAGACCUCGUGAUUGGCCUCCCAUUUUGUGACCAUUUUGGGUUCAUCUUGGUUGUAGCCCUGGCUGGGCUCUUGUGCUGCUCAAGGUGUAUCCAUUGAAGCCUUUUAAUAAAUACUUACUUUAUUCUUUAACUCAGUCCAGCCUCUGAUCUACGUCAGUUCCACACAGACAAGUGGCCCUGAUGGCUGAUCUAGAAGACUAAGUCCACCGAAUCAUUAAUUUUUUUACAGUCAUAUCUGAAAAGUCAAAAUGUCCAUGGGGAAGAAAAUACCAACCUACUUAGAAGUAUGGUAAUUUUCUUCUAAUAUAAAAAAAAGCAAGAUAUUAAAAUUUGUCAGAAGAAGGCAAACAAUCUGAAAAUCUAGGACAAAAUUUCAUUAUUUGGCAAAAAGGUCUUUUACAACUGUCCCUGUCUGCAUGACCCACAUAUGGGGUAGGUGUAGCAAAUAAAAUGUUUUCCAAAGAAUGCAACUUUUGUAAUUUUGAAAUUGCUACAUUAUAUUAGUUACUAUUGUUUAUGUAGGAUCUUAAAUACUAUUUAUCAAAGUUUUUAUCCCUUAGAUAAGCACUGGUUACAUAGAUGCAUAGUUUUGUGUAAAGCAUAACACUGUACUGAAUACAUUUUUGGGAUAAUUUUGCCAGCACCCUUUUGUUUUAGCAAUGUUUGCUUUUCUGUAUGUUCAUUUUUUUCAAGGGCCAUUACUCUUGGCUACAUCGGCCCAGAAGCUUAUCUUGAUAGGUAUAUUAGAACUGUGUAUUAAGCAUAAUUCAGGCCUGCAAUAUUAGUUUUGUUUUCUUCUUUCUUUCUGUUUUCUUUUUCUAUUGCUUACAGAAAUAACAACUAAAGUAUCAGUUUCUUGCUUUCAAAGGUAUUCAGAAUUAAAUUUUUAAAUGAAAAGAGACCUAAAACCAAAAUGAAUUUAUUAUGAAUAUUUUACUCAUGCCAAAUAUACCUGUGGGAUAAAUGAAUAGUUCAGAUUGGGUGUGGAUAAAUGGCAGGUGGAGUUAAUCAGAAGCAAAUGGAAAGUUCUUAAGCAUUUGGAGUUCCCCAGUCCAGGCACAAGUCUCCAAUGGAAUUUCAAGAAUUCACAUAUCUGCUUGCUAGUUAGCUUUGAGAAAUUACACUUGAGCAUCUGUAGAACCUACUUCCAGUCAAGAAAACUUCUGUUUGUGUCCAUAAUCUAACCCUGAAGGAAACCAAUUUGGGAUUAAGCAAAAAUAGGGAGCUUCUGGGGAAGCAGAAUGUAUUCAUGCAUACUACACAGUUAAAGACUUGUGGAGACUGCAAGUAAAUUAUGGUGAACCAGAAAACCGCAAGGCAUAAUGACUUAUAACCAAAUUGUAUUUAAAACCUCAGGUACUUUUGAGAAAAAAUGAGAGUGUUACCACACAGUUGUAUAAUUUCCAUUGUAUGAGUGUAAAGAUUGAG
ensembl:lncRNA